GGAUGGAGGUGAGACUCCUUCAUUGGGCAUCACACAUGUGGACAGAGCAGACCAGCCAAGGGGAGCAGGAGACAGAAACUGGGGAGAAAAAGUAGCCCUCCCUACAGGCAGGCAGCAGCAGUCAGAGUCAGGAGGAACCAGCACACACCACUGAAUAAGGAGCCCUCCAGAAGCACUCCAGACAGGUCAGUGUUCUUGCAGCAACUUUUACUCA
rnacentral:lncRNA from 1 species